AUCCUCCGAAUAGCCAGCAAGAACAGGGUAUGGUGGAUGAAGCCCCAGGGCUUGGGAGGGAGAGGGAGAGGCAGGAGGAUCAGGAGUUCAAGGCCUAACCUGGGCUGUGUAAGACCCUGUCUCAACAGAAACAAGCAUACAGGGCAGCCGUAGUUACAGGGAAAGGGGGUGGGGAGCGGGCACAGGAAAAGACGCUCAGAAGCAGGUUGUCGCCUCCUUUGUCUCCUCCCAGGGUUACUAGCUUCUCCUAAGGCCACCAAAAGUGUCCCUUUUGAAGUUGAUCAAUGGAAGAAAGGACAAAGUAGGGAGGGAGGAAAGAAAAGAAAGAGAAGAGGAGAGGAGGGGAAUUGUGGGUAAGACUGGGUGUGUUAUUUAACCUCUUUCUCCCUAGGCCCCUUUCUCUACCAACAGAAGUUUCCAUGGCCCCAGAAAUCCCCUUCAGCCCUAAUGCUAAGAAUUCUGGGCUUAAAGCAAAGAGGCCUUUUCUCCGUGGCGCCGAACACUUUGUGAUUUCAAACAAAGUUUUUGGAUGCAUUCUUCCACUUUCUUGUUUUCCAAACAGAAACCAGUUUCUUCUUUCAAAGCCCCUGCAAGGCCAAUAAAAGAACCAUAAAUUUAGCAAUCAAUCAGGACCCCAAACAAAGAAGAAAAAAGCCUCAUGGACAGGGUGGCCAGCGGCCUCUCCCAUCACCUCAAAGUAAAAGCUUCAAGGAAGAGUGUGAGGUGACCGGGAGCCUGAGGUGACCGUGGAGACCAGGCAGAGAAUGACCAAGGCUGGCAAAGGAGGCUGAGCAUUGCAGACGCCCAACAUCCACCCCUGUGGUACCGCUGUCAGCGCCUAGCUUUCAGACCCCCUGAGCCAAAUCGCUACCUGUCUGUUCAGGGAGCUGCCCUCAAGUGUCUACCAGACAAGCGUCAGAGUCCAGGAGAGAACAGGACUGCAUAGACCUGGGAUGAGUCUCAGGAAAGGGUUGGUGCGAGCGAGGGGCCAGGGAGGAGAUGCGUGCACCUGGACCGGGGCUGUAGGCCUGUGGGCCAUGGGCCAUGAAGUCGCGCCAGCAGGAGACUUGAACCGUGAAAUGAUGGGGUGGGGGCGACUAGGAGGUGGCAGAGGCAGGAAAGCCAAGCGGAUUAGUAAACCCAGUGACCUCGGGUAGUUUUCUUCAGCCACUGGCUUCCGGCUCUGAAGGGGGCUGCUGGUUUCCGCUGUGACAAACCCACCCAUCGCAAGCGACAGUCGCGUGCACCCCAGCAUCUGAGGAAGCAGGCAAUGCGUUGUCUCGCUGUGUGUGCCUUCACACAACGUGCUUGUGUCACCUCAUGCCACCCAAACCCCGAAGGCUUGAAGAACGGCUUUGCUCUGUCACUCUGCGAAGUCUAGAAGACCCUCUACUUACCACCAAGGCGAAUGGAUGAGACCCAUGCUCGCCACGGCACGGGUCCCGCGCCCUGUGGUCCACAUGCUUCAGACACGGGCUGCGAAGCUGCGUCCGGUGCUUGGUGGAGAAAAACAUGGUUAAAACGCUGGGCUCUGUGGACCAUCACAGGUUCCCCAAGCUUGCAGGUGUGGGGCCAACUAAUUCCCGGCAGGCAUGAUUACACCGUGGUCUUUGUGACUUUCUCGUCUUUAUGGAAGAAUUUCUGACAGUGACAACUUAACGGAGAAGGAAUGUAUGGUGGCUCACAGUCUCCGGGGAUGUCUGUCCCUCAAGGAGGGGAAGGCAUGGCAGAGCUUAUGGGGCUGGGAAGGUUAGGAAGUUCAGUGAGGCGCUGGAAUCUGAACCCCAGGGAUCCGCCCCUGCUGCAGAGGCCACAGUCUCCGAGGUCCCACAGUCUCCACGCCGAGGCCACCACUGGGGCUCCGCGUUCACACACCUGCAGCUGUGGUGGGGGCGAGGCUGAAAUGGGGCCACCUGCCCGGCUACCCCGACAUCUUCGGACAGAACAAAGGCGCAAGCUCCUUACGCCGCCUUCUUUCUACCAGGGUCAAUUAGACCUGCAUUGUAGAAUUUCCGCAGGCCUUGCCCUCAGCUGCAGGCAAUAAAUCACAUUUCGGGUUCAUGUUGCACAGCGGCUGUCGGUCUGCCUCUCCCACGCGCUCCUCUCUUGCCGCACUGGUGCAAAGGCCACGUCUCUCUGUGGAGGGAUGCAUGCGGGGAACACUUCGCUCCAAGCGCACACGCACGGUUUGAUUAAAGUCCCUUUUCUCUUCCUCAA